rnacentral:tRNA from 1 species
GGGGAUUUAGCUCAAUGGUAGAGCGCUUGCCUAGCAAGCGCAAGGUCCUGGGUUCAGUCCCCA